GAUGAACGCUGGCGGCGUGCUUAACACAUGCAAGUCGAACGGGAUCCCAGGAGCUUGCUCCUGGGUGAGAGUGGCGAACGGGUGAGUAAUGCGUGACCGACCUGCCCCAUACACCGGAAUAGCUCCUGGAAACGGGUGGUAAUGCCGGAUGCUCCAGUUGGAUGCAUGUCCUUCUGGGAAAGAUUCAUCGGUAUGGGAUGGGGUCGCGUCCUAUCAGCUUGAUGGCGGGGUAACGGCCCACCAUGGCUUCGACGGGUAGCCGGCCUGAGAGGGCGACCGGCCACAUUGGGACUGAGAUACGGCCCAGACUCCUACGGGAGGCAGCAGUGGGGAAUAUUGCACAAUGGGCGCAAGCCUGAUGCAGCGACGCCGCGUGCGGGAUGACGGCCUUCGGGUUGUAAACCGCUUUUGACUGGGAGCAAGCCCUUCGGGGUGAGUGUACCUUUCGAAUAAGCA
rnacentral:rRNA from 1 species